UACGUAGGGUGCAAGCGUUGUCCGGAAUUAUUGGGCGUAAAGAGCUCGUAGGCGGUCUGUCGCGUCUGCUGUGAAAAUCCAGGGCUCAACCCUGGACCUGCAGUGGGUACGGGCAGACUAGAGUGCGGUAGGGGAGAUCGGAAUUCCUGGUGUAGCGGUGAAAUGCGCAGAUAUCAGGAGGAACACCGGUGGCGAAGGCGGAUCUCUGGGCCGAUACUGACGCUGAGGAGCGAAAGCGUGGGGAGCAAACCGG
rnacentral:rRNA from 1 species